UACGGGGGGAGCAAGCGUUGUUCGGAUUUACUGGGCGUAAAGGGCGCGUAGGCGGUCGUGACAAGUCACUUGUGAAAUCUCCGGGCUUAACUCGGAACGGUCAAGUGAUACUGUCGGACUAGAGUACAGAAGGGGCAACUGGAAUUCUCGGUGUAGCGGUGAAAUGCGUAGAUAUCGAGAGGAACACCUGCGGCGAAGGCGGGUUGCUGGGCUGAUACUGACGCUGAGGCGCGAAAGCCAGGGGGAGCGAACAGG
rnacentral:rRNA from 1 species